AUAUUUCACUUUGGUAGCACAUACACAAAAAUUGGAACAAUACAGAGAAGAUUAGCAUGGCUCCUUGGCACGGAUGACACGCAGAUUCACGAAGAGUGACAAAAUAUU
ensembl:snRNA U6 U6 spliceosomal RNA